CAUCGAGAUGGGAUCCGAACCUCAGGUGCGGCCCGGGCGCGGCGUGCGGCGCUGAUGCAGGAGGGUACUUUAAGGGGUGAUGCGUCUGCUCCUUGUUCACGCUUCUAAUGUAACCUCUAUCUUCAGACCCAGACUCAACUGUGAAAGCCAGCCUUUAGUAAGGUAAUGCGUCCAUUAUAGGUAUUGUUACCUGGACUGGAACUGGUCAGGGCCAGCUCUACCAUUAGGCAACUUUAGGCGGCCACCUUGUGGCGCCGGCUCUUGGAGGGCGCCACUGAAUUCAUCUAGCAAAAAACUGAAGGAUGUCACUGUAUGCAGCCUCCUACUUUUACACUGCGCUGGCUGCUACUGUGGGUAUAAUCAGUUGCAGCUGCUGCAAUCAGACUGUAGUGCCUCAGCACUUCCUCCGUGCUGACACGUGGAACAUCAAGUCGGGUUAAGGCACAUAAGAACCGGGUGUAACUAUGGCUCUCAAGGGGUGCCCCCAUGGCUGUUCAUCAUAGUCCUGAUGCACCUCCUCCAGGCCUCUGGAUCCCAGCUCUCCAGCAGCAAGCAGCACCUGACUACAUGUCCGCACCCAGCAGCGUUGCUGUAAUGCUGCUGCAGCCUGUAAGAGGAACCAUGCAAAUUAUGAGGGAAAACAAGGAAACAACUUUUUAGUAAGUAACCCUUAGGAGUUUCUGCAGGACUACAGACAGUACAGAUCUUACAGCACAUUGAGUGGUUUGCUCUUGUAAACAGCACAAUAGGUAAAACCCAGGCACUGGGGA